AUAUGGAGGGUGCAAGCGUUAUCCGGAAUCAUUGGGUUUAAAGGGUCCGUAGGCGGACUAAUAAGUCAGGGGUGAAAUCCCACAGCUUAACUGUGGAACUGCCUUUGAUACUGUUAGUCUUGAGUUAUAUGGAAGUAGAUAGAAUGUGUAGUGUAGCGGUGAAAUGCUUAGAGAUUACACAGAAUACCGAUUGCGAAGGCAGUCUACUACAUAUAUACUGACGCUAAUGGACGAAAGCGUGGGGAGCGAACAGGAUUAGAAACCCUAGUAGUCC
rnacentral:rRNA from 1 species